AUUACCUUACAGGGCAAUUCAUUUAAAUGUCAUGAGUCUAGAAUGAUGUCAGAGUUAUUCACUAAACUGAGAAUUCAAGGGGACGUUCACAUUUUUAUUUUUUUAUAAAUUCUUUAUUUUAUUGGUUUUUGGUUUUUGUAUAGUGUGGGAAAGGGUUUACAGAAAGAAGAAAUUGGGAUGAAGCAUUAGUUUUACAUAUAACAUUUUGUAACAGUUUUAACAAUUCAGGUAUUGAUAUUUUCGUUGAGCUGUCGUGCCUAGUUUACAUCAGUUUUCUUGGGUGGUGCUUGACAUGAG